rnacentral:tRNA from 1 species
CGCGGGGUAGAGCAGCUUGGUAGCUCGUCGGGCUCAUAACCCGAAGGUCGUUGGUUCAAAUCCAAUCCCCGCAA